rnacentral:rRNA from 1 species
UACGUAUGGUGCGAGCGUUGUCCGGACUUACUGGGCGUGAAGGGGGCGCAGGCGGCGCGCCAAGCCCGAUGUGAAAGCCCGGGGCUCAACCCCGGGACUGCAUUGGGAACUGGCGUGCUGGAGUGCCGGAGGGGCAGGCGGAAUUCCUGGUGUAGCGGUGAAAUGCGUAGAUAUCAGGAGGAACACCGGUGGCGAAGGCGGCCUGCUGGACGGAUACUGACGCUGAGGCCCGAAAGCGUGGGGAGCAAACAGG